UAUCAACUUGGAAGGAAAAAAGAAAUUAAAAUAAAUCUAAUUAACUCUGCAAAAACUUAAAUUUGAGCGCAAAACCAAAACCCAAAACCAAAUUCAAAUAGAAACUCUAAUCAGGCAAACUCAACUGAUCGUAUAAUCGUAUAUCUAGGGUUUACACAAAACAAACACCAAAAUCCAUCUCCCAUUCCCGCAAAACCAAAACCCAAAACCGCGAACCACAACCGAUCUCCGUCGCCGCACCGCCGUACUGCAAUACCGCCGCCGCUCCUUUUCAACGUCCGGUGAACGCUGAUCGAUUCUCUAGCACUCUGAAUUUCAAGGAAGACGGAAUUUUUUCUGGCAGUGGUGAAAUUGGCAGUGUCAAAUUCCGGCGCGGGUGGUGGUGAGGUCCUUUGGUCCCGGUGUUGUGUUCUUCUUUACUCCCAAUUUUUUUUACGAGAGAAAGUCAGAAUUGUCAGGGUCUCAGCCUCACAAGAGACCUUAGUGACAAUCACAUUGGGGAUACAAGUCUUGCCAGUUUACCUCCCACGGUGAAGACCUUGUUCGGCUACUUUUUUUGUUGUUAUUAUUAUUCUUAGUAUAAUAUUGCGAGCAAUGUUACUAUUUAUAAUUAUGGCAUCGUUUAUAUACUAUCGAUGGUUCAUUUCAGAUAAUCAGUUUACUGGUUGCAUUUCUGACUUGUCUGUAUUUAGUCAAUUGGUGUUUUGUGAUUUUACAACUCUGUGAACUUAGCAUCAAUUGGUUGAAUGUGGGAUUUAGCUAUUUGACGGUGUUCCUGCGUGUUUUGUAGUAAUAUGGAGUUCCGAUUAUGGUAUAAAGGUAAAUUGAGUUAUCUUAGAGCAAGGAACAACAUGAACUUGAAUUUAUAAUGCAUAUGUUUUAGGCUUACAGGAAAAUCUGUUUUGACCAUAAGUACUGUCUGUUUUAUAUCAAUGUCAGAGCUUUGGAAGUGAUUUCUGGUAUGACAGGAGCCGGUGGAAACGUGGGUACGGUCUAAGCUCAGCUGAUAUUCUUCGAAGGAUCUCAAUACACAAAAGAGAGGGGAAUAACUUAUAUGGGUAUAAUGAUUGUAGCAUGUACUCUACCCAUAGUUGCCAUAUACUCCCCACAAUGGGGAGGUAUGUUUUUGUUGUCCUAGAUUAGGUUGUUGUUCUAAGGCCUUUAAAACUUAAUUAUAUGAAAACGAGCAUUUUCUCUAAGUUAUGUACUGCAGUCUGAUAGGGAUUCUUUCAAAUGUUCAUCGGUUGAGAUAUACUUGGAGUUAGUUCAAUAGUCAACCCACCUUAGUGCCCACAAGGAACAAAAGAUAGUCUGGGAACUUGAAUUCUUUCAAAUGUUCAUCGGUUGAGACAUCUAUUCCAGGGUUGGAACAAGUAGUUGUAUAGUACCUAUUAGCUUUUACACGUAUGGUCUUAUGUCCUAGACGUAAUAAUUUUAAGAGUAAAUAAUAGUUCUAUAUAGAGUUGGCCGUUGACAUUAGCUGUAUUGAUUCUUUUAUUUUUAAUUAGAGUUGCGGAGAGUAGUUUUUCUGAGACUUACCUCAGGCAAUUAGGCUGUCAGUACUCAAUGAGUUACAGCAAUCAAGCCCCUUCCUAUUGGCCAAGUCCUCGUGGAGAAAUGUGCUUGUAACUCUUGGAAGAGGCUGUCAGUUGCUCAUUAUAGCUAACUCUUUUCACCUCAACUCAGCUAUGCUUAGCCUGAAUGGUUUUCUGAAACUUUUUAUAUUGCUAGAACAUCUUUGAGAGUCUAUACUAACUUCCAAACUCAAAAAUUUACAAGGUCAACUGAUACACAAUUUAGCUUUCUUCUUCAAUAUAGCUUCGACUAAAGCAAAAUUCUGUC